CCUUGGAGAGCUUUGGAGAACUUCCCCAUGACUUGUGGAUUUCAAAAACUCCUGCUUUGCAGUAAAACACCAGAAUAUUCAACUAUAAGCAUUUACCCGAUCAUUCAGACUAAUUGCCAGCAGAGGUUCCUGGAAGCCUGCUCUCAUUUUUCUUCUCCUCUGAGUGCCCCAAAACAAUCCAAGUAAGUUAACAAUGGAAAGGUUGCAAGCCCGUCCCUAAAGGAUCUACAUGAACAAGAACUUAAAUGAAUGAAUUAAAAGUACCAAAAGAGCCAGAGACCUCAUUCAUCUGCCACCGACUCCAGUUAAAAUAAAACCACUGAAUGAUGGAAGGGAUCAAUCCACACACAGCCAUGUUCCAUC